GCCUACGACCAUAUCACCCUGAAUGCCCCCGAUCUCGUCUGAUCUCGGAAGCUAAGCAUGGUAAGAGCCUGGUUAGGACUUGGAUGGGAGACUGCCUGGGAAUACCAGGUGUUGUAGGCU
rnacentral:rRNA from 1 species